rnacentral:rRNA from 1 species
ACGAACGCUGGCGGCGUGCUUCACCCAUGCAAGUCGAACGGAAAGGCCCUGCUUUUGUGGGGUGCUCGAGUGGCGAACGGGUGAGUAACACGUGAGUAACCUGCCCUUGACUUUGGGAUAACUUCAGGAAACUGGGGCUAAUACCGGAUAGGAGCUCCUGCUGCAUGGUGGGGGUUGGAAAGUUUCGGCGGUUGGGGAUGGACUCGCGGCUUAUCAGCUUGUUGGUGGGGUAGUGGCUUACCAAGGCUUUGACGGGUAGCCGGCCUGAGAGGUUGACCGGCCACAUUGGGACUGAGAUACGGCCCAGACUCCUACGGGAGGCAGCAGUGGGGAAUAUUGCACAAUGGGCGGAAGCCUGAUGCAGCAACGCCGCGUGCGGGAUGACGGCCUUCGGGUUGUAAACCGCUUUCGCCUGUGACGAAGCGUGAGUGACGGUAAUGGGUAAAGAAGCACCGGCUAACUACGUG